AAUGAACGCUGGCGGUAUGCCUAACACAUGCAAGUCGAACGGCAGCACAGUAAGAGCUUGCUCUUACGUGUGUCGAGUGGCGGACGGGUGAGUUAUACAUCGGAUUCUACUUUUUCGGGGGGGAUAACGUAGGGAAACUUACGCUAAUACCGCAUACAACCUACGGGUGAAAGCAGGGGAUCUUCUAACCUUUCGCGAUUGAAUGAGCCGAUGUCGGAUUAGCUAGGUGGCGGGUUAAAGGCGCACCAAGGCGACGAUCCGUAGCUGGUAUGAGAGGAAGAUUAGACACAUGGGAAGUGAGAAACGGCCGAGACUCUUACGGGAGGACGCAGUGGGGAAUAUUGGACAAUGGGGGAAAGCCGGAUACAGCAAUACCGCGUGGGUGAAGAAGGACUUCGGGUUGUAAAGUCCUUUUGUUGGGAAAGAAAAGAAGCAGGUUAAUCCGCGGCGGUUCUGACGGUACCGAAAGAAUAAGCACCGGCUAACUUCGUG
rnacentral:rRNA from 1 species